GAUGAACGCUGGCGGCGUGCCUAAUACAUGCAAGUCGAGCGAACAGAUGCGGCGCUUGCUCCUCUGUCGUUAGCGGCGGACGGGUGAGUAACACGUGGAUAACCUACCUAUAUGUCUGGGAUAAUUUCGGGAAACCGGCGCUAAUACCGGAUAAUAUCUUGAACCGCAUGGUUCAAUAGUGAAAGUCGGUUUUUCCGUCGGUUGUGGAUGGAUACGCGCCUUUUUAGCUUGUUGGUGGGGUAGUGGCUUACCAAGGCUAUGAUGCGUAGCCGGACUGAGAGGGUGACCGGCAAAAUUGGGACUGAGAUACGGCCAAGACUCCUACGGGAGGCAGCAGUGGGGAAUAGUGCACAAUGGGCGGAAGCCUGAUGAAGAAACGCCGCGUGCGGGAUGACGGCCUUCGGGUUGUAAACCGCUUUCGCCUGUGACGAAGCGUGAGUGACGGUAAUGGGUAAAGAAGCACCGGCUAACUACGUG
rnacentral:rRNA from 1 species